CCUACGGGUGGCAGCAGUGGAGAAUAUUGGGCAAUGGAGGCAACUCUGACCCAGCAACGCCGCGUGCAUGAUGGAGGUCUUCUGAUUUUUAAAUUCUUUUCAUGGGGGUGAAAACUAUAACGGUCGCACCAUACCAAACAAAGGCUACCUACGUGCCAGCAGCCGCUGCGAUACGAAGGUGGCAAGCGUUAUCCGGAAUGACUGGGAGUACGGGGUGCGUAGGUGGUUUAGUAGGUUGGCGGUGUAAUGCCGUGGGUGAACAACGGAGAUACCGCCAAUACUAUUAGACUAGAGAGCAGGGGGGGUAAGUGGAAUUCCUGGUGUAGCGGUGGAAUGCGUAGAGAUUAGGCGGAACAGCGAGGGCGAAGGCGACUUACUGGACUGCAACUGACACGGAGGCACGAAAGCGUGGGGAGCAAACAGGAUUAGAUACCCUUGUAGUC
rnacentral:rRNA from 1 species